GGCCUCGUGGUCAAGUGGUAUGCUCUUAGUUUCGGGUGCGAGAGGUCCCGGGUUCGAUUCCCGGUGAGGCCC
rfam:Phytophthora infestans T30-4 supercont1.28 genomic scaffold, whole genome shotgun sequence.